rnacentral:rRNA from 1 species
UACGAAGGGGGCUAGCGUUGUUCGGAAUUACUGGGCGUAAAGCGCGCGCAGGCGGCUAUCCAAGUCAGUGGUGAAAGCCCGGAGCUCAACUCCGGAACUGCCAUUGAAACUGUUUAGCUUGAGGAUGAGAGAGGUGAGUGGAAUUCCCAGUGUAGAGGUGAAAUUCGUAGAUAUUGGGAAGAACACCAGUGGCGAAGGCGACUCACUGGCCCGAUACUGACGCUGAGGCGCGAAAGCGUGGGGAGCAAACAGG